AUGGAGUCACUCACCCAACAUACAAAUCAGCAUGCCAAGCCCUCAGAUUUCUUAAUGAUGACUAAGUGGAUUGACUGUAUCAAUGAAGCAUCAAGCUGGGCAUCUGGAACACAACUGCGUCAGUUAUUCACCACCAUAUUGUCCCAUUGCGAAGUCACAAGCCCAAAGGUAUUGUGGGAUUCAACAUGGGAGGCGUUGUGUGAAGAUAUGCAAUACAAAAGGACCAUUCUAAACUUUCCAGCACUUCGGCUCACCAACAUGCAGAAGAAAGCCUAUGGUCUAAUUGAGAUAGAAAAACUGAUGAGGCAAGUAGGAAAGUCACUAAAGGACUAUCUAGACAUAGAACUACCGAAUACCGCAGAGCUAGACGAACUUGGGAACAGACUAAUAAACGAAGAGGUCAACUACGACAUGGACAAACUCAAGGAUGAGCACAAAAUAAUACUAAACAAUCUUAACCAAGACCAGAAAAAAUCCUAUGAUGCAAUAAUGGAAUCAGUUGACAAAGGGCUAGGAAAGCAGAUAUUUGUCGAAGGCUACGGUGGCACAGUAAAAACCUAUCUAUGGAAAGCAAUAACGACAAAGCUAAGAUCAGAGGGGAAGAUAGUGCUUGCGGUAGCAUCAUGUGGCAUUGCAGCGUUGCUUCUUCAAGGUGGAAGAACAGCACACUCAAGGUUCCGUAUUCCACUUAAUAUCACUGAAGAAUCAAUGUGUGAAAUAAAACAAGGCUCACAUUUGGCUGAACUGCUAAAGAAGACCUCACUUAUAUUGUGGGACAAAGCUCCUAUGGCAAACAAACACUGCUUCGAGGCACUAGACAAAAGCCUUAGAGAUAUUCUCAGGUUCACUAAUGAAAACAUCACUGAAAAGCCAUUUGGUGGAAUGACAGUUAUACUAGGAGGCGACUUCAGACAAAUCCUCCCAGGAGUACAAAGGAAGGAGAGAGCAGAUAGUUAA
rnacentral:rRNA from 1 species